UGGGGAAUCUUGCGCAAUGGGCGAAAGCCUGACGCAGCAACGCCGCGUGCGGGAUGACGGCCUUCGUGGUUGUAAACCGCUUUCAGCAGGGACGAAACUGACGGUACCUGCAGAAGAAGCCCCGGCUAACUACGUGCCAGCAGCCGCGGUAAUACGUAGGGGGCGAGCGUUGUCCGGAUUCAUUGGGCGUAAAGAGCUCGUAGGCGGUUCAGUAAGUCGGGUGUGAAAGCUCCGAGCUCAACUCGGAGAGGCCACCCGAUACUGCUGUGACUUGAGUCCAGUAGAGGAGCGUGGAACUCCUGGUGUAGCGGUGAAAUGCGCAGAUAUCAGGAAGAACACCGGUAGCGAAGGCGGCGCUCUGGGCUGGUACUGACGCUGAGGAGCGAAAGCGUGGGUAGCA
rnacentral:rRNA from 1 species